rnacentral:rRNA from 1 species
UGCCAGCCGCCGCGGUAAUACGGAGGGGGUUAGCGUUGUUCGGAAUUACUGGGCGUAAAGCGCGCGUAGGCGGUUAUUUAAGUCGGAUGUGAAAGCCCCGGGCUCAACCUGGGAAUUGCAUACGAUACUGGGUAACUAGAGUACGAGAGAGGGAGGUAGAAUUCCACGUGUAGCGGUGAAAUGCGUAGAUAUGUGGAGGAAUACCAGUGGCGAAGGCGGCCUCCUGGCUCGAUACUGACGCUGAGGUGCGAAAGCGUGGGGAGCAAACAGGAUUAGAUA